rnacentral:misc_RNA from 1 species
GAUGAAGAACGCAGCGAAAUGCGAUAGGUAAUGUGAAUUGCAGAAUUCAGUGAAUCAUCGAAUCUUUGAACGCACCUUGCGCUCCUUGGUAUUCCGAGGAGCAUGCCUGUUUGAGUGUCAUUAAUAUAUCAACCUCUUCAGCUUAUGCUUGUUGAGUGUUGGAUGGUGGGGGUUUGCUGGUGUCUUAUGAAGUCAGCUCCUCUGAAAUGCAUUAGCGGAACAAUUUGUUGACCGUUCAUUGGUGUGAUAAAAAUAUCUACGCUAUUGACGUCAGUCAGUUCAGCUUCCAACAGUCCAUUGACUUGGACAAAUUUUUCAUUAAUGUGACCUCAAAUCAGGUAGGACUACCCGCUGAACUUAAGCAUAUCAAUAAGCGGAGGA